rnacentral:rRNA from 1 species
UAGGGAAUAUUGGGCAAUGGCCGAGAGGCUGACCCAGCCAUGCCGCGUGCAGGACGAAGGCUUUCUGAGUCGUAAACUGCUUUUGCCAGGGAAGAAUAAGGGGCGUGCGCGCUCCGACGACGGUACCUGGUGAAUAAGCACCGGCUAACUCCGUGCCAGCAGCCGCGGUAAUACGGAGGGUGCAAGCGUUGUCCGGAUUUAUUGGGUUUAAAGGGUGCGUAGGCGGUUCUUUAAGUCCGGGGUGAAAGCCCACUGCUCAACAGUGGAACUGCCCUGGAAACUGGAGAACUUGAGUACAGACGAGGGCGGCGGAAUGGAUGGUGUAGCGGUGAAAUGCAUAGAUACCAUCCAGAACCCCGAUUGCGAAGGCAGCUGCCUAGACUGUAACUGACGCUGAGGCACGAAAGCGUGGGGAGCGAACAGG